rnacentral:rRNA from 1 species
UACAGAGGGUGCAAGCGUUGUUCGGAAUUAUUGGGCGUAAAGGGCGCGUAGGCGGUGCGGUAAGUCUGUAGUGAAAUCUCUGGGCUCAACUCAGAGUCUGCUGCAGAAACUGCCGUGCUUGAGUGUGGGAGAGGUGAGUGGAAUUCCCGGUGUAGCGGUGAAAUGCGUAGAUAUUGGGAAGAACACCGGUGGCGAAGGCGGCGCUCUGGACCGAGACUGACGCUGAGGCGCGAAAGCGUGGGGAGCAAACAGG